UGCGGGGUAGAGCAGAGGCAGCUCGUCGGGCUCAUAACCCGGAGGUCGUUGGUUCGAAUCCAACCCCCGCUA
rnacentral:tRNA from 3 species